UACGAAGGGGGCUAGCGUUGCUCGGAAUCACUGGGCGUAAAGCGCGUGUAGGCGGCCCACUAAGUCUGAUGUGAAAGCCCGGGGCUCACCCCCGGAAGUGCAUUGGAAACUGGUGGACUCGAGUCCCGGAGAGGAGAGUGGAAUUCCUGGUGUAGCGGUGAAAUGCGUAGAUGUCAGGAGGAACACCGGUGGCGAAGGCGGCUCUCUGGACGGUGACUGACGCUGAGACGCGAAAGCGUGGGGAGCAAACAGG
rnacentral:rRNA from 1 species